GGAUGUGAGGGCGAUCUGGCUGCGACAUCUGUCACCCCAUUGAUCGCCAGGGUUGAUUCGGCUGAUCUGGCUGGCUAGGCGGGUGUCCCCUUCCUCCCUCACCGCUCCAUGUGCAUCCCUCCCGAAGCUGCGCACUCGGUCGAAGAGGACGACCUUCCCCGAUAGAGACGGUACCGUUCAUCGGUCAAGGGUAUACGGUAGCUGCGCUCCCCUGCUAGAACCUCCAAACAAGCUCAAGGUCCAUUUGUAGGAGAACGUAGGGUAGUCAAGCUUCCAAGACUGCAGACACAUCCAAGUGAGGCACUGCAUGGGGUAAAGGUGUAUGUUU
rnacentral:snRNA from 1 species